AUGCAUCCACAAAAUCUAACUGGACUCUCUUGGUCUGAGGUCUUGUAUUUCGAAGCCAAAAUACUUAAUGAGAAACAUAUUAUGGAAAAGCGCAUUGCAUAUAUGCGAAUGGCAUUUGAUCAGCAGCAACAAGAUUUGGUUGAUGUUGCAUCAAAAUCUUUAGCCUAUAGACAAGACAUAAUCCCAACAUGUCAAGAGGGUCAAUGUCAAAGAGUCAUAUUUAUCCAGCGGUCUGUUCUGUCGAAAGCAAGAAAAUGUUCUGAAAGGUUUGGUUUCUUUAUCAGAGGUUGCUUGAUCUGA
rnacentral:rRNA from 1 species